CCUACGGGGGGCUGCAGUGGGGAAUAUUGGACAAUGGGGGGAACCCUGAUCCAGCCAUGCCGCGUGUGUGAAGAAGGCCCUCGGGUUGUAAAGCACUUUCAGUGAGGAAGAACGCCUGGUGGUUAAUACCCAUCAGGAAAGACAUCACUCACAGAAGAAGCACCGGCUAACUCCGUGCCAGCAGCCGCGGUAAUACGGAGGGUGCGAGCGUUAAUCGGAAUUACUGGGCGUAAAGCGCGCGUAGGUGGCUUGAUAAGCCGGUUGUGAAAGCCCCGGGCUCAACCUGGGAACGGCAUCCGGAACUGUCAAGCUAGAGUGCAGGAGAGGAAGGUAGAAUUCCUGGUGUAGCGGUGAAAUGCGUAGAGAUCGGGAGGAAUACCAGUGGCGAAGGCGGCCUUCUGGACUGACACUGACACUGAGGUGCGAAAGCGUGGGUAGCAAACAGGAUUAGAUACCCCUGUAGUC
rnacentral:rRNA from 1 species